rnacentral:rRNA from 1 species
GACGAACGCUGGCGGCGUGCCUAACACAUGCAAGUCGAGCGAGUGAAUCUCCUUCGGGAGUGAAGCUAGCGGCGGACGGGUGAGUAACACGUGGGCAACCUGCCUCAUAGAGGGGAAUAGCCUUUCGAAAGGAAGAUUAAUACCGCAUAAGAUUGUAGCUUCGCAUGAAGUAGCAAUUAAAGGAGCAAUCCGCUAUGAGAUGGGCCCGCGGCGCAUUAGCUAGUUGGUGAGGUAACGGCUCACCAAGGCGACGAUGCGUAGCCGACCUGCGAGGGUGAUCGGCCACAUUGGGACUGAGACACGGCCCAGACUCCUACGGGAGGCAGUAGUGGGGAAUAUUGCACAAUGGGGGAAACCCUGAUGCAGCAACGCCGCGUGAGUGAUGACGGCCUUCGGGUUGUAAAGCUCUGUCUUCAGGGACGAUAAUGACGGUACCUGAGGAGGAAGCCACGGCUAACUACGUGCCAGCCGCCGCAGUAAAAC